AGUGAACGCUGGCGGUAGGCCUAACACAUGCAAGUCGAACGGCAGCACAGUAAGAGCUUGCUCUUACGGGUGGCGAGUGGCGGACGGGUGAGGAAUACAUCGGAAUCUACUUUUUCGUGGGGGAUAACGUAGGGAAACUUACGCUAAUACCGCAUGCGACCUACGGGUGAAAGCAGGGGAUCUUCGGACCUUGCGCGAUUGAAUGAGCCGAUGUCGGAUUAGCUAGUUGGCGGGGUAAAGGCCCACCAAGGCGACGAUCCGUAGCUGGUCUGAGAGGAUGUUCAGCCACACUGGAACUGAGACACGGUCCAGACUCCUACGGGAGGCAGCAGUGGGGAAUAUUGGACAAUGGGCGCAAGCCUGAUCCAGCCAUACCGCGUGGGUGAAGAAGGCCUUCGGGUUGUAAAGCCCUUUUGUUGGGAAAGAAAAGCAGCAGGUUAAUACCCCGCUGUUCUGACGGUACCCAAAGAAUAAGCACCGGCUAACUUCGUG
rnacentral:rRNA from 1 species